UACGUAGGGUGCGAGCGUUAAUCGGAAUUAUUGGGCGUAAAGCGUCUGUAGGUGGCUUUUUAAGUCCGCCGUCAAAUCCCAGGGCUCAACUCUGGACAGGCGGUGGAAACUACCAAGCUGGAGUACGGUAGGGGCAGAGGGAAUUUCCGGUGGAGCGGUGAAAUGCGUAGAGAUCGGAAGGAACGCCGGUGGCGAAAGCGAGCAACUGGAUCUCUUCUGACGCUGAGGCGCGAAAGCUAGGGGAGCAAACGGG
rnacentral:rRNA from 1 species